GCUGUGGUGUAGGCCAGCAGCAGUUGCUCUGGUUUGACCCCUGGCCAGGGAACUCCCUAUGCUGUGGAUGCAGCCCUAGAAAAGACAAAGAAAGAAAGAGAGAAAAGAAAUACACAUGGGGAGCCACAAAAUCUCAUUUUCCCCACUCGAUGCCCCCAAAUCUGCGUCUGCCCCUCUCCAUCUUCCCCUCCUCCCUCCAUGGGCAGAGUUCCAAGGCUACCGAGCAGUGGACUUGGACUCUAAAGGAAGGUCAUUAUCUGGAUGCGCCUGAUCCAAUCAGGACCUCUUCAAAGGGUGAGAGCCUUGCUGAGCUCAGAGACAUUCCCACGUGGGGGACGUUCUCUGUGUGACUGAAGAUACAGAGGCCCCAGGGUGAGUGGCCCUUAGGAGCUGAGGGCAACCCCAGGCUAAGAGCCAGUAACCUCAGUCCUACAGCCCCAAGAAGCCACGUCCUUUCUCUUCCAGCCUGAAUGAGCCUGGAAGAGCGUGUCUAGCUCCCCUUGGUCUCAGCCUUGGGUGACCUUGAACAGAGAGCCCAGGUUCUGCACAACCUGCUUGAAGUGUGUUCCUGACCCAGUCUCUCUGCCUCCACGUUUGCCCCUCUCGGCUCGUUCCCCACACACCUGCCAACGUGCUUCUGUCAGCAUCCACGCGGCGGCGGGUCCACGCGGCGGCGCCCCAGCUCCGUCCUCUUCAGAUCCUCCGUCUCCCCGCCAUCCUUCCUCCUCUGCCCAGGUCCCGGCCUCCUGUUCAGAAGGUCCUUCUCCCGCCCCUUUGCCAGCUGCUUCCUUCUGGCCGUGCAGCUGGCUCUUCAGAAAGGCCAGCCCUGUCCACUGGGCCAGCAGGGCUGCCCCCGGACCCUUGAUUUCAGCCCCUUGUGUUUCCAUCAUAGAACUUUCUGGAUUCAAAAGCAGUUCUUCGUGUUUUUGCCCCUUCCCUCCUGAGGGGCAAGGGCUCAGCCCAGUUUCUCCACUGUUCCUCUCCAGCAUUUACCACGAUGCCUCACACAUGGGGGGCCUCAAAUGAUAUUAGUUGAAUUAAAAAAAAAAAAGAAAAAGCGCAACCUCGGUUGUCACUUGCUGUCUUUUGUGCCUAGAUGUUCCAUUUGAUCUGCUCAAUAACCCCAUCACGUCGGCAUGGGGCUCAUGAAUAUUUAAAAGGUAAAGAAACUGGAUCAGAAUGAAGUGAAGUAAUCUACGGGGGUCAGGCUUUACGAAUACGCCAGAGGAGUCAGGACUUGCAGGCAGGCAUUCUGGCUCCAGGCCUGGCUACCCACCCUCCACACCCAGCCCGGUGAUGAGUCCACUCACAGGACCCUUGAUGGCCAUGCGUACUGAUGGCCUCGAAGUGGUUUGGGAAAACAGAGACCUCGCAAGGGAAAUGGCCUUAUGUUGAAAUGGGAGUGAAAUAGGGAAGAAGCGCCGAACUGAUUUUAACCUGCACCUGCCUCGUGGCCGGUAAUAUCCUAUUAGGGACACUCGCUGGCAUGGGGCUGCGUUGUAUCUGGAUGCUGUAUUAGCUGAGGUUCAGAACAGCAGCAGGAGGAUGCUGGACCAGCAUCAGGAGCUUUUAAAGAGGAAUGUGGCCACAGGGCCACAUCAAAGGCUGAUUGGACUUUGCUUCCCUCCUGGAGGGGGAGUGCUUGCACGGAGAGGGCUCCUUUCUCGUCCCUUUGUUUUCUGUUUCCAAUUUGUUCAAACCACAAGGGGCUUUGAAGUGCUUGACGCCAGCCCAGGGCAGGGCCUGGCGUGCACUGAAGAGCGAGAAGUUUCCCGUUUCACUGGAAACAGGCCAGUUUUCCAGAUGGUAAUUCAGAAGGACAUUUUGAAAAGCGGAGCUUGGGGCUCCUAUACAUGCCUUAUUUUUAGGGAAGUGACAGCAAGUCAAUUGAUGUACCGGUUGGAAAGUUAUAUAUAAACAUAUAAUUUUAGGCCUUGGGUCAGAGUCUUGUUCUGAAACGUACAAUGGAGUCAACAGAAAGAUGUUCCCUGGUGACUCAGUGGAUGAAGGACCUGGCAUUUGUCACUACUGUGGCUCCCGUUGCUGCUGCGGCGCGAGUUCAAUCCCUGGCCUGGGAGCUUCCACAUACCUCAGGGAAAUAUCUUCAUUUUCAUAUUUAGCUUGGAUGCCUGGGGCAGGGAGGGGCCCCCUCUUAGUCGUCGGCCACACGAGUGGGAGGCCGAGAAGGGAAGAGCGGAGCCACUCUUCCUGCCAGAGUGGACGUGGGCAAGGCUGGCCGCUCCCACGUGGGAUGGAGGAGGUUGCUAUGGUUUCCAUCAGCGAACUUCUCCAGACUGUGACAGGCAGGCCCUUUCCUGUCUGCGGCAAGGGCUCUGCGCGUGUGCAGAAGCCCUUCGAGCAGAGCGGGGAGGAGAGGCGGUUGGGAACACACCUGAUUUGGUGGCCUUCUGUGCCAGGACACCCCCCGCCGGCUGUUGGCCCUGCCUGCCCAUCUUGUCUCCUUUGCAGGAAGUUCAAUGGCUUAGGGUCAGGCGUGUGGGCUCUGCCCCUUUCUGGCCGUGGGACCUUGACAGAGUCACUUACACCCUAUAGAAUGGUGGGGAUGACCCCACCCCUAAUUCACAAAGGGCCUUGGGACCAGGGACAAUGACAUUCAAGACCCUUAGCCUAGCCAUGGGCCUUGAGCACAUGGUGCGGGGGGGGGGGGUGGAUGUCUGGAAUCAUUGCUUGUCUCACUUCUUACCCUCGUUGGCUACUCACAGGUUCUGAGACCUUGGGAGAGUCACUUUGGGACCAGGUUCUCCUGCGUGCUAAGCAAGAGGGCGUUGGUUCUGGAAACAUGGCAGGGCGCUGACAGGAAGCCAGGUAUUGGCGGGAGCUGGGGACCCAAAACCUGAUGGGACCCGGCUGCCUGCUGUGGGGACCAGCCUGUGUCCCUCUGAGAGCCAGGCCCCUACUCACUGAUGGCUUUUAGGUUUAGGUGGCUUGUAUUUGGCCUGGAGCCAGAGAGUGCUCAGUCCCUGCUGCUGUCUCGAUGGGGUCACCCUUGCGGCUACUGAGGCCUUGGCCUUCAGGACCCAGGUCUGGUCCCUGCCUCCUGACCGUCUUCGCAGGCCCACAGCAAUGGGGGUGGGGAGGCAGAGCGUGUUUCAUCCUGUUGUUGACAAAGGCCAAACAGUAUCAAAAUUUCUCAUUUUGGAAAGAGGUCCCGUCAACCCUGGGUGAUGUGUUUCCAGAUCCCUCCUCUUUUUUUUUGGCUGCACCCACAGCAUGUGAAGUUCCCGGGCCAAGGAUGGAGCCCAGCUGCCCCAGCCACUUCUCUGAGCAGCCCUGGGGAUGGAACUGGAUGAAACACUCUUGUCCCUGGGAAUCACAGUUUCUACGUGUGUAGAGUGUGAAGAUGCAGCUUCACCGGGCAGGCAGUGAACAUCCAUUUGUAAAGGAGGGACCCUCCUAACCGCUUCCUGUCCUGAUGGGGGCGCUCUGGCGGGCUUUGCUCCUGGGUGUUAACUGACCUUCACAUGGGUUGCAGGGCCCUUAACGGCCACAGCAGAACCAGCUGUAACCACCGCAGUGAUACUCGUUAAAACUGAGGGGAGGACACAGGCACCCCUAGCUGAGCAUCUGCAGGUCAUGUCGCACCCAGGUGAUCGGUGGGGCAACCUGCAGAUCGGCAAGGUCACUUGGGCCCCCCCGGGGUGGCCCAGGUCCCAGUUAAUGGAGCCAGAUGGUUGCGUCUCAUGCAGAAAGCAGAGACUGAUGGGUUCUGUUCAGAAGAGCACCUCCUAUGCUCCAGUCCUGGAUCAGAUGCAUUGGUGAUGCUGAAGAUGCAGGCAUGGAGCAUCCUUAAAGACCUCCAUCCUGGGCCCAGGCCCGGCCUUUGUGCUCUCCCCUCACCUGCUUGGGAGAGGGCAGAGGUGGCUGGGCAAGUCCCUUUGGAUCUAGGAAGUCACAGCAACUGGCACAGCUUAAGGACAGUGAGGAGUAGGGUCCCGUCCCUCUGCCCCUCCCCUCUCUCCAGGGCCUCUGGACACAUGGAGACUGGCAGGAAGCUGCUGAGCCUGCAGCUCCCGGGAGCGGGUGGGAGGGGGGGCAGCCUGUCUGGCAAGGAGAGGGGAGAAAAGCCAGCCAGCCCCUCAGCUGGGCUGGGUGGGUGUGGCGGUCCCCCUGGCUCUUCAGCUGUCAGGAAUUAAGGUUUUAUCCCAGCUCCAAGUAAUUGCGGGGCCUUCCUAGUCACAGCUUUCCCCUCCUAAUUCAGUGCUCAGUCGGGGCUCUUUCUCGCUUAGCUUCCAAAUUUACACCUCUCCUCUCUCCCGCACCCUACCUGGAGGUGUUGAUGGGUGCUUAGCAUCCCAAGGGGAGGGGCUGCUGCAUCUCAGCAUCAGCCCCUGGCUCUGCCUGCCGGCCAAUGGGCUCCUUCCCUACUUGGAGCAAGGGCCUCCUUCCUCUGCAUCCCCUUGUUUAAUUUGCAGCCCUAGUUCCAGGCAGUAACCUUGGGCAGUCGCCUCCAAGCCUCUCUGCCCUUCGGACAUUCUGCCUUCCCCACAGCACAGAGAGGGGACGUUUGCUUUGAAGCUUGUCAUCUCGGCCAUGGAAAUGCCAGUCCCCAACCCCAUCCCGAGAGCACGUGGUAAUGAAUUCCACGGAAACUCGUGCAGCAGUGAUCAAAUGUAAUUGCCUACCAUUUCACACCCACACUCCCCGCCCGUGUUCCCGCAGAAUUCCGGCGAGGGCCGGCCUCCCUUUCUGCAAUUUCAUUGCCACAGUCACCCGCUCCUGAGAUGCUUGAGCCUCACAGAUGCUUGAAUGAAAUGUGUGCUGAAUUUUCAUCAUGAUACCUCAAGCAGAGGCAGGCAGCGCUGCCAUUAAGAUUAAUUGGGGGGGGGGGGGCUCCCGCUUCGGAAUCACGGCAGGCUAGGAAUUAUGGUCCUGGUGCACUUUUCAAAGCUUCUUUCUUCCAGAACGUCUCCUGAUUUCUUUUUCGGCCGCUCUGCUAACGUUGACUCAAUUUUUCUGUCCACUCUGAACACCUCUGUGAGCAGAGCCAGGGUUAAAAACCAGUGCAUCGUGCUCCUGUCUUAAAUCACCUGCUGGAGUUUGGGUUUAGUUUACGCCUAAAGAUGGAGGGAUGCACUUUCCCUGGGGCUUUGUAGGGUUGACAGUAUUUUCUAGAUACUGUCCUAGAAAAUCCUGUUGCCUGGCGAGUUCCCGCUGUGGCUCAGUGGAAGCAAAUCUGACUGGUAACCAUGAGGAUGUGGAUUCAAUCCCUGCCCUCACUCAGUGGGUAAGGAUCUGGCGUUGCCGUGAGCUGUGUGCAGACGCGGCUCAAAUCUGGUGUUGUGGUGGCUGUGGUGUAGGCUAGCCUGGGAAUAUCCAUAUGCCGCAGGUGUGACACAAGAAAAAGAAAAAAAAAAAAAAGGAAAUUUUGUUGCCUGUUUUGAUCAACCCUGAGCUACAAAUAUAUAUAUAAUAUAUAAUAUAUAUUUACAUUAUAUUACAAUACCUUUAAUAAUACAUUAUAAGAUAUCAUGUAUAUAAUACAUAUUUACCUUCUUCAGUGAUUGGAAAAAUAAAAGUCUUGGGUGACAUGAAAGUUACAUGACAUUCACGUGUCAGUGCCCAUAUGUGCCCACAUAUAAAGGCCGAGAGGGCUGCAGCCAGGCCCAUGGCUUUCGUGUUGCCCACAGCUGCAUCCUUGCUGCAGUGGCAGCUGAGUUGCUGUGACAUUGACCGUAUGCCCUGCAGAGUCUACGAGCUUUGUCUUUGGCCCUUUGCAGAAAUGUCUGCUGAGCGCAGUAAGGCAGAGCAGGUGCACAGACGGGGACAUCUCUGGUCUCUCGCUGUCUCCAAAGGAUGGCUGUGCUGGUGCCACUCACACAGGGUCAGAGGCACAUCUCUGGUGAGGUCCAUGCGGUCUUUCUGGUUUAAGACCUUCGAUCUCCAAUGGCCCUGAAGGGUCCUUGAGUCAGGGUCAGACCCACGCCCAGGCUCCAUCUCAGGUCGGGGGAGCACAUGUCUGGGUCCAUAAUGAUGAAGUUGAGGGGCUUCCAACCCCGUGCUGAGCAUGCCGGCUGCUUAUGAUUUGCCAUUUAUCACUGAGCCGUGAAACUUCAGCAGAGUGAAAACUAGUUUGCCAAUGAAGUAAAGUGGAAAAUUAAUUUCAGUUUUCCUCCUGUUGCAAGUAAGUGCAGAAAUUGAAAAUGAAGUCUCUAAUCAUGGGUGGGUUUUCAUCUCAGGCUGAGUCUUACCCACUUAAAAAAUUGGAGGGGGGGAGCUUGCUUAUUUUAUUCUAAAGGUAAUUCCCUGGUGGUCUAGCAGUUAAGGAUCCAGAAGUUGUCAUUGCUUCCACAGUCAAAAAAAAAAAAAAAAAAAAAA